CUUGUUUGUUUUAAUGUGUGGGUGUAUGUACAUAUGCACAUGGGGGCACAAAUUUGUGCAGGUGCAUGAAUGUGGGGUGUGCUUGAGAGACAGAGGACAACCUCAAGUGCCAGCCUCAGGAACUCUUUGAGAUGCGAUCUCUCGCUGGUCUGGAGCUCACUAGCUCAGGCAGGCUGGUGGGUGAGCCCCAGGGGUCCUCAGUCUCUGCUUCUCUAGGGCUGAGGUUACAAGUGUGCACCACAGUGCCUGGCAUUUUUUGUGUGGAUUCCGGGGACUGAACCCCAUCUCUUGUACCAGGGAGGCAAGCGUUUUACCAUUCACCAGCCGAUUCUUGGGCUCUUGUCUGACAGUAUAAACAGAAGGAGCAGCGUCGUGGAGUUUCUCUUCUAGUUGUGUAAACAGAAGGAGCAGCGUCGUGGAGUUUCUCUUCUAGUCGUGUGUGCCAUCAGCUCCUCAUCCACAUAAAGCAAGGCUCUCAACUUGUGGGUUCUGACCCCUUUGAGGGAUCCACUGACCCUUCUUACAGGAGUCACAUAUCAGAUAUCCUGUAUAUCAGAUAUUUACAUCGUGAUCCAUAACAGUAGCAAAGUCAGUUAUGAAGUAGCAGUGAAAAUGAUUUUAUGGUUGGGGGUCACCACAGCACGAGGAACUAUUAAAGGGUCGCAGCACCAGGAAGGUUAAGAACCACUGGCAUAUGGGAAUCAACAGCUGGGUGGUGCCUCUCUGGGCACUGUGAGGAUCAGGUGAACUCUGACCUGCUGAGGGCUUUGGAAGCUACACCAUGGACCAUCCCGUACCUGAAAUCCCUUCUCAGGCCUCUAACGUGCAAACUGUGGCCAUCCCUGCACCCUGCAAGCUUCCAGGUCAAAAGUACGCCAGGCGCAGACGGGUUAAGAGCAGAGUGCCCUAUGCGACCAGGAAUGGUGAUCACACAUAAAGCAAGCAUGCCCAGGCUGUCAGUGACCUCACAGGGCCACCUCCCUCCGAUGUGAGACUGGCAACUGUCACCCUGUGAUAAGGGCUGGAGGCUCAGUGUGGAGUUUCCCCCAGCUGGUAAGAGGCUGGGCUGGGAUUUCAACCCUCUGUCAGAUUCCCCCUGUGCCCUGGGCAGGAGCCACGAUGGCGCGCUCCUUCAGCGCUGACCUCCCAGAACCAACGUGCAGUGAAGCUGCUAAGUUAUGCAUGGGCCUAUGGGAGUCAAGACCACCUGCGCACCAAGCUUUUAUUUAACUGUUGUUAAAGGAGAAAUGGAGGAAAUCAUAUUCACUUGGGCAGCAUGAAUUUCAGCCCAGGUGGCCCAAACUGGAGCAGCCCGAGUGGUGCCUGUGGGGCAGGUAUGAGAGAGGGUUUACAGGGGAUUUCUCUAUGACCUAGUUUGGGGAUAGAUCACGGUCAGGGCAGAAAAGUGAACUUGCAAACCAGCGUGUUCUGAGUGCUGAGGGUGAGUUAAUUAGCCAGCUCCCAGCUGAGACUUGUAGAAGGUGGGUGGUGCUGGCCUCUGUGUUUACCAAGUCAGUUCGCCCACUCCACGGUCCGACUCCGGCCAGUGUGAGAUCAGGCUUUUGGCAAUCAAUCCUCUGGGGAAGCUGAGGCUGAGCUGGGGUCUUCUGUAGCCUUCCGUGUGCCAGCCUGCACCGACCUCCAGCAGGCUCUCCUUUGUUCCGAGAUCAGAAGCCAAUCUCAUGGGCUCUCUGGGAGCUGAAGUGAAUUAACACGUAUAAAAACUCAGCUCCGUGGUGGCAUCUGGACUGGCGUGAGGAUCGCCAUCGCUGUGGACAGACGGGCAGACAAGGAACCAAGCUCACAGAGAAAGAGUCUCACAGAGGUAUGGCUGCAGGCGGAGCCAGACCUUUGACCCUCGGUCUCAGGUCUCCCCUUGGGGUGAGACCCAUCACAUCAACUCUUGAAUUGGUGACCCCACGGGGUUCUCACACCCAGAGCUCAGGGACCAUCUAAGGAACAGAAACUCAUUAGGUUGUGAGGCAGAUGCAUAUUCAUCCGUGACAAUUUAGAACAUGCAAUCUUGCCAAGGAGAAGAAAAUAAAACCCAUCAGUGUUCUCACCGCCUGGGGCCUGCCAAGGCUGACGUGUGUAUUUUCAGACUUCGGGGGAAAUGAUAAAACCUAACACAGCGGUGCCCUGCUGGCCCUUAGCCACCAUCCGGGGUUUCUUCAGGGUUUCCUACCCCACAAAAGUGGGCUUCUGAGACCAAUGGUUCUGUCAUGGGGCUGUCCCAUGCACUGAAGGACGCUUCCGAGCAUCCCAGGCCACUAUGUCCACCUGAUUAUCGCCCCUUCAAGCCAGAACUGUCAAAACCACUUCUAGAUAUUUCCAGGUACCAGCUGGCCCUGGAUGAGCAUCUCUAGGUUUGGGGGCGAAGUUGUUUCGACCAGCCAGACCUGACUUCCCUUCUCUGCUUAGAUCAGGCCAGGGAGCCCCAACCUUCCUCUGGGAAACAGCAGACAUUUUCCAGCCUGUGGCACAUGAGGGCUCCGGGGACUGUGCUCACUGCGAGGGAGUCACAGUAGCCUUGGUGAGGCCCAACCUCUCCCAAACACGAAGGGAUCCAGCGAAUCCCCCGUUCCUUUGGGAAGUCCUCUGAUGAAGUUCUGCUUGCCUCAGGGAGGCCACAGGAGCUGGGAUGAAGAGCAGCUCUGGAGACCUAGGUAACAGCAGAGAGAAGACUCCUGGAAGUUGGCCUCUGACCUCCACACACGUGCUGUGCCGUGUGUACCCCACAACUCCCCCCUCCCACCUCGCCACACAAAUCAACAAACAACCUGGGAGUUUUGUGGACAUCGUUACUCAGGGAACCAGUUUCACAAGUUCCUGAGGCAUGCUGGUUUUUACCCAACUGUCAAAAAUCCUCCUAUAGUCCAGGCUGAGCUCAUUUCUGGAUAUUUGGACCGCCUGUGAGACCUGACAGAAUCAAGUUGGAAGAAAAAUCGCAAAUGCAAGAAACCCCUUCUCCCUAAUUGGUAAAACCUUUAUUACCUUUAAUAUUAAAUGUAAACCCUUCUCAAGGCAAAGCUAAACAGGACUGGAGAAAAACUGUCACAAUUUUCAGAGUGGAAUUCACAGAAUUACAAAUGCAGAAAAGAGGCAAGAUAUUUCACUUCAAAUGAUCUCUUCACUUUAUCUCAGA